rnacentral:rRNA from 1 species
AUUGAACGCUGGCGGCAGGCUUAACACAUGCAAGUCGAGCGGUAACAGGCCUUCGGGUGCUGACGAGCGGCGGACGGGGGAGGAAUGCAUAUGAAUCUGCCUAUUAGUGGGGGAUAAGACGGGGAAACUCGUGCUAAUACCGCAUACGUCCUACGGGAGAAAGCGGGGGAUCGUAAGACCCGGCGCUAUUAGCUGAGCCUAUGCCGGAUUAGCGAGUUGGUAGGGUAAAGGCCUACCAAGGCGACGAUCCGUAGCUGGUCUGAGAGGAUGAUCAGCCACACUGGGACUGAGACACGGCCCAGACUCCUACGGGAGGCAGCAGUGGGGAAUAUUGGACAAUGGGCGCAAGCCUGAUCCAGCCAUGCCGCGUGUGUGAAGAAGGCCUUCGGGUUGUGAAGCACUUUAAGUGGGGAGGAAGGUCAGUAAGUUAAUACCUUGCUGAAUUGACGCUACCCACAGAAUAAGCACCGGCUAACUCUGUGCCAGCCGCCGCGGUAA